UGACACACUAUAGUCCGUUUUAUCACCUC
rnacentral:piRNA from 1 species